AUUGAACGCUGGCGGCAGGCCUAACACAUGCAAGUCGAGCGGAUGAUGGGAGCUUGCUCUCUGAUUUAGCGGCGGACGGGUGAGUAAUGCCUAGGAAUCUGCCUGGUAGUGGGGGAUAACGUUCCGAAAGGAACGCUAAUACCGCAUACGUCCUACGGGAGAAAGCGGGGGAUCUUCGGACCUCGCGCUAUCAGAUGAGCCUAGGUCGGAUUAGCUAGUUGGUGAGGUAAAGGCUCACCAAGGCGACGAUCCGUAACUGGUCUGAGAGGAUGAUCAGUCACACUGGAACUGAGACACGGUCCAGACUCCUACGGGAGGCAGCAGUGGGGAAUAUUGGACAAUGGGCGAAAGCCUGAUCCAGCCAUGCCGCGUGUGUGAAGAAGGUCUUCGGAUUGUAAAGCACUUUAAGUUGGGAGGAAGGGUUGUAGAUUAAUACUCUGCAAUUUUGACGUUACCGACAGAAUAAGCACCGGCUAACUUCGUGCCAGCCGCCGCAGUAACAC
rnacentral:rRNA from 1 species